CACGCUGUAAACGAUCAAUACUAGGUGUGCGGGGACUGACCCCCUGCGUGCCGCAGUUAACACAAUAAGUAUUGCACCUGGGGAGUACGAUCGCAAGGUUGAAACUCAAAGGAAUUGACG
rnacentral:rRNA from 1 species